rnacentral:rRNA from 1 species
AUGGGGAUUUUUCUUGAGAUGGGGCUUACUUCUGAGAUGGUGGAACAUGUUGUCAUUGAUGAAGCGGGAGGUCUCCGGGCCGCCAUGGCCGUCAUAGACGCCGACGAAGGUGCCCUGCGGGCCGGGGUCGGCCAUGGAGAGCGAGCCGGACUCCACCUGGCUCUGGUCCUCCAGCAGGCUGUUGGCCUGCACUACCGCCAUGGAGAAGUCGCCGGUGACCGCCUGGCCGGCGUCAUUGUACCACAGCAGCCCGUCCUGGCGGCCGGCGGCGUCGGAGCCCUUCUUGCCCCGCCGCCCGGCCCGGGACCGCGCGCCCCAGCACGACCUGAAGUAGUCCAUCACCGCCGCCAUCACGCCCUCUCCCCGCAGCUCCUCGCCGGCAUGCCCGGCCUCCGUACCUCCACCGCCGUCCUCGCCUGCAGCCAAGCAGAAUCAUCAAUACGGGUCAGAUCAAAAUUACUCUCAGAGCAGCCGGAUCGCAGCCAAGGAUCGAUCAAUCAAUCAAUCAACCAAGAAACCGCGUCAAUCCCCGGCACCCAGAAUCGCCCGGCGCAGAGCGCCGAAUCAGAUCGAGAGAAAGAAAGACGCAAGUUCCCUCACCUUUUUUUCCCCUCUCUAUCUGUCCAAGUCCAAGAACUCCCCGCCGGGUUGGUGCUGGGAUUCUUGGAAUCUGCUCAGAUCUGGCGCGGGCGGGCACGAGCUUGGGCGCACGAACAGCGAGGAUUGGGUGGACUGGACUGGACAGGACCGGCGGCCGCGCUCGAGGAUCAAAGAGAAUCAACCGACCAGCCAAGCAAGCAUGGAGCUUGA